GACGAACGCUGGCGGCGUGCUUAACACAUGCAAGUCGAACGGUGAAGCGCCUUCCUUUUUGGUGGGUGUGGAUGAGUGGCGAACGGGUGAGUAACACGUGAGUAACCUGCCCCCUUCUUCUGGAUAACCGCAUGAAAGUGUGGCUAAUACGGGAUAUUCUGGGUCUGUCGCAUGAUGGGUCUGGGAAAGAUAUUGUUUCGGUGGGGGAUGGGCUCGCGGCCUAUCAGCUUGUUGGUGGGGUGAUGGCCUACCAAGGCGCUGACGGGUAGCCGGCCUGAGAGGGUGGACGGUCACACUGGGACUGAGACACGGCCCAGACUCCUACGGGAGGCAGCAGUGGGGAAUAUUGCACAAUGGGCGCAAGCCUGAUGCAGCGACGCCGCGUGAGGGAUGGAGGCCUUCGGGUUGUGAACCUCUUUCGCCAGUGAAGCAGGCCUGCCUCGUUUGUGGGUGGGUUGACGGUAGCUGGAUAAGAAGCGCCGGCUAACUACGUG
rnacentral:rRNA from 1 species